CGAUUUUCGCAAUGCCCGAAAGGGUGACGAAGCGACGCCGCGUGCGGGAGGAAGGCCUUCGGGUUGUAAACCGCUGUCGGGAGUUAAGAAAUGCAAGGAUGUUAAUAGCGUUCUUGCUUGACUAAGGCUCCGGAGGAAGCCACGGCUAACUCUGUGCCAGCAGCCGCGGUAAUACAGAGGCGGCAAGCGUUGUUCGGAAUUAUUGGGCGUAAAGAGCACGUAGGCGGCUGUGUAAGUCGGUUGUGAAAGCCUUCCGCUCAACGGAAGAACGGCAUCCGAUACUGCAUGGCUUGAGUGUGGGAGGGGAGAGUGGAACUUCUGGUGGAGCGGUGAAAUGCGUAGAUAUCAGAAGGAACACCGGCGGCGAAGGCGACUCUCUGGCCCAUAACUGACGCUGAGUGUGCGAAAGCUAGGGGAGCAAACGGGAUUAGAUACCCCGGUAGUCCUAGCCGUAAACGAUGGGCACUAAGUAGAGGGGUUUU
rnacentral:rRNA from 1 species